UACGUAGGUGGCAAGCGUUAUCCGGAUUCACUGGGUGUAAAGGGCGUGUAGGCGGGGACGCAAGUCAGAUGUGAAAACCACGGGCUCAACCUGUGGCCUGCAUUUGAAACUGUGUUCCUUGAGUACUGGAGAGGCAGACGGAAUUCCUAGUGUAGCGGUGAAAUGCGUAGAUAUUAGGAGGAACACCAGUGGCGAAGGCGGUCUGCUGGACAGCAACUGACGCUGAGGCGCGAAAGCGUGGGGAGCAAACAGG
rnacentral:rRNA from 1 species